rnacentral:rRNA from 1 species
UACGUAGGGUGCGAGCGCUGUCCGGAAUUAUUGGGCGUAAAGGGCUCGUAGGCGGUUUGUCGCGUCGGGAGUGAAAACCCAGGGCUUAACCCUGGGCUGGCUUCCGAUACGGGCAGACUAGAGGUAUGCAGGGGAGAACGGAAUUCCUGGUGUAGCGGUGAAAUGCGCAGAUAUCAGGAGGAACACCGGUGGCGAAGGCGGUUCUCUGGGCAUUACCUGACGCUGAGGAGCGAAAGUGUGGGGAGCGAACAGG